CCCUUGCUUCUCUAUAAAUAUUAAGCAAUCGAUCUCUAAUCAGAGGAACACAACAGAGAGAAACAAAUUAAGAAAAGAGAUUAGCAACGCUUUGGUAAUAACGAUCAUGGACCUGGACGGGAUCAUCUCAACGAAGCAGACUGUAAACUAUGAAUCGAAGAGGCGUGCCGUUGAUUCCAAUACUCCAGUAUCAUUCUCGAUACGGGUCCGAGAAGUUGAACUGCGUUUUGUGCGGGAUGGUAGCGUUCUUCGCGAAAAUCUGUUAAAACACAGAACCAUAGCUUCACCGGUUAUUGGAUUGGAGAUCCCACCUUGUUUUGCAGAGGUUAUGUUGUUAAGGCCUUGUCUAAGACAAUCAUACCCACCUGGAUUCAACCGUUCAUCCUUCCUCAAAUCUGCAAAGACGCCAUUACGGAGGAGGGCAAAAGAAGUGGUUUCAUGGUUGAAGCUCAAGUUGGAGCAGUCAAACAAACAUAUAUCAAUAAUUGUAUUGAUGUGAAUGAUUACAACUCUGAAGGUCGUAAAAUACCAACCGAACCAGAUUGUCCAAUCUGCCUACAAGAUUUUGGUCCUAGGAGUAUCAUCACCAAGUUGCGCUGCUGCGACUACAAUUUUCACAGGGAUUGUAUUCUCAUGUGGCUGGGCCGCAAGCCUUCAUGUCCUACUUGUCGUGAUGAUAUCCGCAACCCCCGACCAAAGAAAUUUACCCCAAAGAUAUUUUUAGGCCGAUAACACAUAUAUGGCCAUGAACUCAUAGAUUCAGGAGGAACAGUUGACUUGAAGAAGCAAACCUUCAGAAGUGUUUUGGUUCAUGUGAAGUUUCUUCAGUAGCACGAGCAGCUAAUGAAUUGGUGAAAACAAUCUUUGGAGAUCCUAUCAAAGAUCAGAUCCCUACUUUCAAGGCAUAAUGAUGAGCAGCCACUGAAUAUUACAGGACAACUUAUUCUCCGUGGCCAAAAUGGC